rnacentral:SRP_RNA from 1 species
GGACAGGCUAGGCCGGGAGGUUAGCACUCUCCUGUCACCCCCAACGUGCUUCAGCGGGGGUCGAAGCUUGGAAGGCGAUUGCCUAAGGUGAGGGUAGUCUUGCUUUGGACAACGACGAUCUGUCCUGCUUGAUCGACCUUUGUGAGAACCACGUCAGGGCAGGAAUGCAGCAGCGUUCAUCACGAUGAUUGAUGUUUGCAGGGUUGCGGAUCCGAGGAAGAAGCGAGGGAACUUCCUUACUGUUAUGCACUCCACUUUCGAGCGCGCCUGUCC